CGAAAGCCUGACGGAGCAAGACCGCGUGGGGGAGGAAGGCUCUAGGGUUGUAAACCCCUUUUCUUUGGGAAGAACAAAAUGACGGUACCAAAGGAAUCAGCCUCGGCUAACUCCGUGCCAGCAGCCGCGGUAAUACGGAGGAGGCAAGCGUUAUCCGGAAUUAUUGGGCGUAAAGCGUCCGCAGGUGGCGAUUCAAGUCUGCUGUCAAAGCACGGGGCUUAACUCCGUAAAGGCAGUGGAAACUGAAUAGCUAGAGUGCCGUAGGGGUAGAGGGAAUUCCCGGUGUAGCGGUGAAAUGCGUAGAUAUUGGGAAGAACACCGGUGGCGAAAGCGCUCUACUGGGCCAUAACUGACGCUGAGGGACGAAAGCUAGGGGAGCG
rnacentral:rRNA from 1 species